UACAGAGGGGGCAAGCGUUGUUCGGAAUUACUGGGCGUAAAGGGCGCGUAGGCGGCCCGCUAAGUCGAACGUGAAAUCCCCGGGCUCAACCCGGGAACUGCGUCCGAUACUGGCAGGCUUGAAUCCGGGAGAGGGAUGCGGAAUUCCAGGUGUAGCGGUGAAAUGCGUAGAUAUCUGGAGGAACACCAGUGGCGAAAGCGCGUGACUGGGCCACAACUGACGCUGAGGAACGAAAGCCAGGGGAGCGAAAGGG
rnacentral:rRNA from 1 species